GACCUCUCCGGUGGCCUAGUGGUUAGAGCGUCUACCUCGGAUGCUGGAGGUAGCGGGUUCGAAACCCAGCCGAGUCU